rnacentral:rRNA from 1 species
UACGGAGGGUGCAAGCGUUAAUCGGAAUUACUGGGCGUAAAGCGUGCGCAGGCGGUUAUUUAAGUCAGGUGUGAAAGCCCUGGGCUUAACCUAGGAAUGGCGCUUGAGACUGGAUAGCUUGGAGUGUGGCAGAGGGAGGUGGAAUUCCACGUGUAGCAGUGAAAUGCGUAGAGAUGUGGAGGAACACCGAUGGCGAAGGCAGCCUCCUGGGCCAGCACUGACGCUCAUGCACGAAAGCGUGGGGAGCAAACAGG